rnacentral:misc_RNA from 1 species
UUUCCGUAGGUGAACCUGCGGAAGGAUCAUUAUUGUAUAACCGAGGUGCGAGGGCUGUCGCUGACUCGAAAGGUCGUGCACGCCCGAGUGCCCUCACACACAUCCAUAUCACCCCUAUGUGCACCACCGCGUGGGUCCCCCUUUGGCUUGUUCGGAGGGGGGCUUACGUUUUCACACAAACUUUGUAUGCAGUGUAGAAUGUAUUUUUUGUUUUUGCGAUCACGCAAUCAAUACAACUUUCAACAACGGAUCUCUUGGCUCUC